UAUGGGUCCCUUCGCAGCGCUAGGCUACGAACCCCGCCAGGUCCGGAAGGAAGCAACGGUAGUAGCUGAUGCGAGUGCCGAAGUGUGGCUGGUACUG
rnacentral:SRP_RNA from 1 species